rnacentral:rRNA from 1 species
UAGCUUGCUAGAAGAUGACGAGCGGCGGACGGGUGAGUAAUACUUAGGAAUCUACCUAGUAGUGGGGGAUAGCUCGGGGAAACUCGAAUUAAUACCGCAUACGACCUACGGGAGAAAGGGGGCAACUUGUUGCUCUCGCUAUUAGAUGAGCCUAAGUCGGAUUAGCUAGAUGGUGGGGUAAAGGCCUACCAUGGCGACGAUCUGUAGCUGGUCUGAGAGGAUGAUCAGCCACACCGGGACUGAGACACGGCCCGGACUCCUACGGGAGGCAGCAGUGGGGAAUAUUGGACAAUGGGGGAAACCCUGAUCCAGCCAUGCCGCGUGUGUGAAGAAGGCCUUUUGGUUGUAAAGCACUUUAAGCAGUGAAGAAGACUCUUCGGUUAAUACCCGGAGACGAUGACAUUAGCUGCAGAAUAAGCACCGGCUAACUCUGUGCCAGCAGCCGCGGUAAUACAGAGGGUGCAAGCGUUAAUCGGAAUUACUGGGCGUAAAGCGAGCGUAGGUGGCUUGAUAAGUCAGAUGUGAAAUCCCCGGGCUUAACCUGGGAACUGCAUCUGAUACUGUCAGGCUAGAGUAGGUGAGAGGAAGGUAGAAUUCCAGGUGUAGCGGUGAAAUGCGUAGAGAUCUGGAGGAAUACCGAUGGCGAAGGCAGCCUUCUGGCAUCAUACUGACACUGAGGCUCGAAAGCGUGGGUAGCAAACAGGAUUAGAUACCCUGGUAGUCCACGCCGUAAACGAUGUCUACUAGUCGUUGGGUCCCUUGAGGACUUAGUGACGCAGCUAACGCAAUAAGUAGACCGCCUGGGGAGUACGGCCGCA